ACCUAGUCCCACCACACCCCCAAGGGUACUCAGCAGUGAUAAACAUUGUCUAUAAGCGCCAGCUUGACCCAGUUAUAAAGAAGAGGGCCGGCCAACUUGGUGCCAGCCGCCGCGGCUAGACCAACUGGACUCAAAUUGAUAAUUCCCGGCGUUAAGCGUGAUUAAAGCCACACACCAAUUAGAGUUAAACCUAUGUUGAGCAGUGAAAAGCACACGAUAGGGAAACCCAGAAACGAAAGUUACUCUAAUCUCUGCUUGAAUACACGACAGCUAGAAUACAAACUGGGAUUAGAUACCCCACUAUGUCUAGCCGUAAACUAUUAACCCACACUAACCCCGCGCCAGGGAACUACGAGCCUUAGCUUAAAACCCAAAGGACUUGACGGUGUCCCACCCAACUAGAGGAGCCUGUUCUAUAAUCGAUAACCCCCGCUUCACCCAACCCCCCCUUGCUUUAUCAGCCUGUAUACCUCCGUCGUAAACCCGCCGUAUGAAUGUACUUAAGCGGAUUCAAUGGUCUCCCACCAACACGUCAGGUCAAGGUGCAGCCAAUGGAGGUGGUAAGUAAUGGGCUACAAUUUCUAAUCUAGAACAAACGAAGUACUGCAUGAAACACAGUCAUGAAGGAGGAUUUAGUAGUAAAAAGAAAGUAGCGUGUUCUUUUUAACACGGCCCUGGGACGUGUACACA
rnacentral:rRNA from 1 species